UAUAGCGAAAGCUAAUUGUAUUUAACAUAGCGAAAGCUAAGUUGAUGCAAUAUUGACUAUGUUAAAUAAAGUUCUAGGUAGAAUUAUGAUGAUGACAUUGUCUAUCUAUGUGUCUUGACCAAAUUACGUGCCAGCAGUCGCGGUAACACGUAAAAGACUAGUGUUACUCAUCUUUAAUAGGUUUAAAGGGUACCUAGACGGCCAAUCAAGCCCCAAAAGGGUACUAAUAGGCUAGAGUUUAAUAUAAGGAGGCAUUAAAGUACUGAGAAUGUAGAGAGAUGAAAUUCUGUGAUACUAUAUACGGCACUGGUAAAGGCGAAAGCAUCUUAUUAUGUAAUAACUGACGUUGAGGAACGAAGGCUGUGUGUAGCAAAAAGGAUUAGAUACCCAAGUAGUCUCAGCAGAAAAUUAUGAAUGUCAUAGGAUAGAUAAAUUUUGUACUAUAAAUGAAAGUGUAAGCAUUCCACCUUAAGAGUAAUUUGGCAACAUUGGAACUGAAAUCAUUAGACCGUUUCUGAAACAAGUAGUGAAGUAUGUUGUUUAAUUUGAUAGUCCGCAAAAAACCUUACCACAAUUUGAAUAUAAAAAUUUUUAUACAAGCGCUGCACGGUUGUCUUCAGUUAAUGUCGUGAGAUUGUGGUUAGUUCCAUUAAAUUAACGUAAACCCUUACUUUAUUUUUAUAUAGAGUAGUUCACCGCUAGAUUGGAUGUGAUCAUAAGGACUAAGACAAGUCAUCAUGGCCUUAAUAUUGUGGGCUAUA
rnacentral:rRNA from 1 species